rnacentral:tRNA from 1 species
GCCUGCUUAGCUCAAAGGUUAGAGCAUCACAUUUUGUAAUGUGAUGGUCAUCGGUUCGAUUCCGAUAGCUGGCU